CAGCAGCCGCGGGAAUACGAAGGGUGCAAGCGUUAAUCGGAAUUACUGGGCGUAAAGCGUGCGUAGGCGGUUUGUUAAGUCUGCUGUGAAAUCCCCGGGCUCAACCUGGGAAUGGCAAUGGAAACUGGACGGCUAGAGUGUGUCAGAGGAUGGUGGAAUUCCCGGUGUAGCGGUGAAAUGCGUAGAGAUCGGGAGGAACAUCAGUGGCGAAGGCGGCCAUCUGGGACAACACUGACGCUGAAGCACGAAAGCGUGGGGAGCAAACAGGAUUAGAUACCCCAGUAGUCCCUGUCUCUUAUAC
rnacentral:rRNA from 1 species